AUCGAACGCUGGCGGCAGGCCUAACACAUGCAAGUCGAACGAGUGGCGGACGGGUGAAUAAUGUCUGGGAAAUUGCCUGAUGGAGGGGGAUAACUACUGGAAACGGUAGCUAAUACCGCAUACCAUCAGAUUUGCACAGAUGGGAUUAGCUAGUGGGUGGGGUAACGGCUCACCAAGGCGACGAUCCCUAGCUGGUCUGAGAGGGUGAACGGCAACACUGGAACUGGGAAACGGUCCAGACUCCUACGGGAGGCAGCAGUGGGGAAUAUUGCACAAUGGGCGCAAGCCUGAUGCAGCAAUGCCGCGUGUAUGAAGAAGGCCUUCGGGUGGUAAGGUACUUUCAGCGGGGAGGCGUUACCCACAGAAGAAGCACCGGCUAACUCCGUGCCAGCAGCCGCGGUAAUUC
rnacentral:rRNA from 1 species